AGCGAACGCUGGCGGCAGGCCUAACACAUGCAAGUCGAACGAAGUCUUCGGACUUAGUGGCGGACGGGUAAGUAACACGUGGGAACGUGCCUUUAGGUUCGGAAUAACUCAGGGAAACUUGUGCUAAUACCGAAUGUGCCCUUCGGGGGAAAGAUUUAUCGCCUUUAGAGCGGCCCGCGUCUGAUUAGCUAGGUGGUGAGGUAAAGGCUCACCAAGGCGACGAUCAGUAGCUGGUCUGAGGGGAUGAUCAGCCACAUUGGGACUGAGACACGGUCCAAACUCCUACGGGAGGCAGCAGUGGGGAAUCUUGCGCAAUGGGCGAAAGCCUGACGCAGCCAUGCCGCGUGAAUGAUGAAGGUCUUAGGAUUGUAAAAUUCUUUCACCGGGGACGAUAAUGACGGUACCCGGAGAAGAAGCCCCGGCUGACUUCGUGCCAGCAGCCGCCGUAAAAC
rnacentral:rRNA from 1 species